AAUAUGAAUGCACAAUAAAAGUAUAAAAUAAGAUAAACAUGUUGUAUAAACACAAAAAGGGAAAGUAAAAAAGUGCACAUUGUUCAAAAUACAACAAUAGAUAUUUAACAAUGUGUGUAUUAUAUUAUAUGUAGUGGUGUGUUAGUAUACAAAAUAUACUUAGUUAAAAAAGAAUAUAUAUUAUAUAUUUUUUUUUAACUGUCUCAAACUUAAUUAACGGGAGGGCUAUCUCUGUAUAAGCUAUGCUUUCUGUCCUCCAGCUUCUAUUAAUUGUGUUUGUUUUUCGGAUGUAUAAACUGUCUAAUUGUUGAAAUAGUAGAAUACAUUUUUAAAAAAAACGUAAUUUACACCAGGAUAAAUUUAUAUUUUGACUCUUAUUCAAAAGAGAUUACAAAAAACACACAAUAGCCAAUUCAGAAUGAGGUACACCUAGGUGACGCAGUGUAAUCCACCACUUUUAAGAAUACCUCUUUAACUCAUGAGUUUGAGGGGAAACUGAUUUAGAGAAAUGUUGAUUUAAUUUUACGGUCAUUUAAAAAAUUAAGUUCUCGCUGCUGUUGAAUACAGCUUUUAAUAGCAGGCAUUUACACUUGUCAUAGAAGGGAAAGCAAGGGAGGAUCGAGGGAUACAAAAAAUCUAAUUUGGGUGCCAACUUUUUCUAAAUAAAGGACAGAGAAACAUUUCAAGAGAUUAUUCGUUACAUGGCAUUUUGUAUUCUCGUUAAUGUAUUUGAUCGUAAAAACAAGAUGAUUAACUCUUUCCUACCUCCACAAGUUUCUCACAGGCCGCUGUAACGUGGACAUCCGUCUCCCAUUUGUGGAACUCCCUCAUGAUAGGAUAAACGCUCUUCUUCUCGAAUAUGUCCCGGCCCGCUUUGGUCGCUGUCAGCUGUAAAAGAGAAGAACAGUGAAAAACCAAACAUAAAAACAUGAGUCUAUAUGUGCUGUUGUCUUUGUCGUGUUGUACCAGUAGAAGAGUCUCCAGCAGCAUCUUCCUGAUGUCGGGGUCUUCUUCUCUCUUCUUGUCCUCGGGGAGGUACUGCAGGUCCACAGGCAGACCUGAACAUCACAACACCUCUGUUAGAGUCAGUGAGUCGUCUCAAACUGUCUCACCUGCCUGCCCACUCAGCCCCGAGCCCAUUGGUGCAAACUGAACACACAACAUGCUCCUCUGGUCCGGCCAGCGGCAGCAUCAGGAAGGGCAGGAUGUCCACAUCGUCGCUUAGCAACCACUCAUGAUGGGCUGCACAGAUAAAGAAGAGGGCCAGAUGACAGAAAGCAAUGUUUAAUACAGAGCUGUUUAAAAAAUAAAUCCAAAAUGUUCCUGAAUA